rnacentral:rRNA from 1 species
CAGCCGCCACGGUAAUACGUAGGGCGCGAGCGUUAAUCGGAAUUACUGGGCGUAAAGCGUGCGCAGGCGGUUCGUUAAGACAGAUGUGAAAUCCCCGGGCUUAACCUGGGAACUGCAUUUGUGACUGGCGAGCUAGAGUAUGGCAGAGGGGGGUAGAAUUCCACGUGUAGCAGUGAAAUGCGUAGUGAUGUGGAGGAAUACCGAUGGCGAAGGCAGCCCCCUGGGCCAAUACUGACGCUCAUGCACGAAAGCGUGGGGAGCAAACAGGAUUAGAUACCCCCGUAGUCCCUGUCUCUUAUAC